CAGCUGCUUUGGGCCCCACAACAAUGACUGGGCCUGGAGCAACUGCCCUUUUUACCCCUCAUUAAAGAUGGCCCUGUUUUUACAAUUGUCCAA